UACGGGGGGGGCCAGCGUUGUUCGGAAUCAUUGGGCGUAAAGGGCGCGUAGGCGGCCCGGUAAGUCCGUUGUGAAAGCCCUCGGCUCAACCGAGGAACUGCGUCGGAUACUGCCAGGCUUGAGUCCCGGAGAGGGUAGCGGAAUUCCCAGUGUAGCGGUGAAAUGCGUAGAUAUUGGGAGGAACACCGGUGGCGAAGGCGGCUACCUGGACGGGUACUGACGCUGAUGCGCGAAAGCUAGGGGAGCAAACAGG
rnacentral:rRNA from 1 species